rnacentral:rRNA from 1 species
GACGAACGCUGGCGGCGUGCCUAAUACAUGCAAGUCGAACGCUUCUUUCCUCCCGAGUGCUUGCACUCAAUUGGAAAGAGGAGUGGCGGACGGGUGAGUAACACGUGGGUAACCUACCCAUCAGAAGGGGAUAACACUUGGAAACAGGUGCUAAUACCGCAUAACAGUUUAUGCCGCAUGGCAUAAGAGUGAAAGGCGCUUUCGGGUGUCGCUGAUGGAUGGACCCGCGGUGCAUUAGCUAGUUGGUGAGGUAACGGCUCACCAAGGCCACGAUGCAUAGCCGACCUGAGAGGGUGAUCGGCCACACUGGGACUGAGACACGGCCCAGACUCCUACGGGAGGCAGCAGUAGGGAAUCUUCGGCAAUGGACGAAAGUCUGACCGAGCAACGCCGCGUGAGUGAAGAAGGUUUUCGGAUCGUAAAACUCUGUUGUUAGAGAGAACAAGGACGUUAGUAACUGAACGUCCCCUGACGGUAUCUAACCAGAAAGCCACGGCUAACUACGUG